CAAUAGCGUAUAUUAAAGUUGUUGCAGUUAAAAAGCUCGUAGUUGGAUUUCUGGUGGGAGCGAUCGGUCUGGCGCUUAGCGCGAGUACUUGCAUCGUCUCCGGCCAUCCUUGGGGAGAGUCUGUCUGGCAUUAGGUUGUCGGGCAGAGGAUCCUCAUCGUUUACUGUGAAAAAAUUAGAGUGUUCAAAGCAGGCUUAUGCCGUUGAAUAUAUUAGCAUGGAAUAGUAAGAUAGGACUUUGGUACUAUUUUGUUGGUUUGCGCACCAAAGUAAUGAUUAAUAGGGACAGUUGGGGGUAUUCGUAUUCCGUUGUCAGAGGUGAAAUUCUUGGAUUUACGGAAGACGAACUACUGCGAAAGCAUUUACCAAGGAUGUUUUCAUUAA
rnacentral:rRNA from 1 species